CCAAACACAGGCAGACGGUGGGUCUCAUGAUCACAGAGUAGCGCAAGGGAUGGCAGAUGGCCACAUACCUGUCAUAGCCCAUCAGGGUAAGGAGGAAACAAUGGCUGCAACCCAAGCCUAGGAAGAAGAACAUCUGGGCCCGACAGCCCGCGAUGGAGAUGGCCUGGCUCUCCAUCAGCAGAUGAGCCAGCAUAUUGGGGAUGGUGACCAGUGUGUAGCAGGUCUCAGAGAGGGAGAGCACGGCCAGGAAGCGGUACAUAGGUGUGUGGAGAGUGCGAUCCACCUGGAUGAUGGUGAUGAUGGUGGCAUUGCCACUGAGUGUGACCAGAUCCUGGCUAAAGCCUGGACAUGAGCCUGCACUUGUCCUCAGAAGCUCACCUCUCCCCCAGCUCCCACCAGGUUGCCGCUUUCCAGCCACAGCUCAAAAG
rnacentral:lncRNA from 1 species